UGGGGAAUCUUGCGCAAUGGGCGAAAGCCUGACGCAGCGACGCCGCGUGAGCGAUGAAGGCCCUCGGGUUGUAAAGCUCUGUGGGUGGGGAAGAAUAAGUGCAAGUUAAUAUCUUGCAUGAUGACGGUACCCACUUAGCAAGCACCGGCUAACUCUGUGCCAGCAGCCGCGGUAAGACAGAGGGUGCAAACGUUGUUCGGAAUCACUGGGCGUAAAGCGCGUGUAGGCGGCAGUGCAAGUCGGAUGUGAAAUCCCGCGGCUCAACCGUGGAAGUGCACCCGAAACUGCACAGCUCGAGUGUCGGAGAGGAAGGUGGAAUGCUUGGUGUAGAGGUGAAAUUCGUAGAUAUCAAGCGGAACACCGGUGGCGAAGGCGGCCUUCUGGACGACGACUGACGCUGAGACGCGAAAGCGUGGGUAGCAAACA
rnacentral:rRNA from 1 species